rnacentral:tRNA from 1 species
GGCUCCGUGGCUUAAUGGUUACGGCCUCUGUCUCCCAAGCAGAAGGUUCAGGGAUCAAAUCCCGGUCGGUACCU